rnacentral:rRNA from 1 species
GACGAACGCUGGCGGCGUGCUUAACACAUGCAAGUCGAACGAUGAAGCUGGAGCUUGCUCCGGUGGAUUAGUGGCGAACGGGUGAGUAACACGUGAGCAAUCUGCCCUUGACUCUGGGAUAACUUCGGGAAACUGUAGCUAAUACCGGAUACGAAACAUGGUGGCAUCUCCGGGUUUGGAAAGACUUUCGGUCAAGGAUGAGCUCGCGGCCUAUCAGCUAGUUGGUGAGGUAAUGGCUCACCAAGGCGACGACGGGUAGCCGGCCUGAGAGGGUGACCGGCCACACUGGGACUGAGACACGGCCCAGACUCCUACGGGAGGCAGCAGUGGGGAAUAUUGCACAAUGGGCGAAAGCCUGAUGCAGCAACGCCGCGUGAAGGAUGAAGGCCUUCGGGUUGUAAACCUCUUUUAGCAGGGAAGAUGCGAAAGUGACGGUACCUGCAGAAAAAGCACCGGCUAACUACGUGCCAGCCGCCGCUGUAA